AAGGAUCAUUAUCAUAACGUAUCCACGUAUAAACCAAUUUCUUUAAUGAAUGUGAAUUGUAAUGUAUAAAACCUUUAGUAAUUAGUGAUUGCUAUCUCUGAUUUUAUUGAUUAAGAAAUCUUGAUAGACUUGACUCUCACGGGUCUAGCAUUAAUUAUUGAAGUGUAAUUAUUAAUCUACUAUUAACCCAUUGAACCGAUUAACUAUUAUGUAGUUAUUCAUUCUUUUUAUUGUGAACUGAAUUGUUUCUUACUCGAAUGCUAACCCAUUUGAGAAGGAAUUAUAUUUACGAAACAUAAAUUAUGAACAACUCUUAGCAACGGAUAUCUUGGUUCUC
rnacentral:misc_RNA from 1 species